rnacentral:rRNA from 1 species
UGCUUGCACCUGAUUCCUAGCGGCGGACGGGUGAGUAAUGCUUAGGAAUCUGCCUAUUAGUGGGGGACAACGUUCCGAAAGGGACGCUAAUACCGCAUACGUCCUACGGGAGAAAGCAGGGGAUCUUCGGACCUUGCGCUAAUAGAUGAGCCUAAGUCGGAUUAGCUAGUUGGUGGGGUAAAGGCCUACCAAGGCGACGAUCUGUAGCGGGUCUGAGAGGAUGAUCCGCCACACUGGGACUGAGACACGGCCCAGACUCCUACGGGAGGCAGCAGUGGGGAAUAUUGGACAAUGGGGGGAACCCUGAUCCAGCCAUGCCGCGUGUGUGAAGAAGGCCUUUUGGUUGUAAAGCACUUUAAGCGAGGAGGAGGCUUACCUGGUUAAUACCUGGGAUAAGUGGACGUUACUCGCAGAAUAAGCACCGGCUAACUCUGUGCCAGCAGCCGCGGUAAUACAGAGGGUGCAAGCGUUAAUCGGAUUUACUGGGCGUAAAGCGCGCGUAGGUGGCUAAUUAAGUCAAAUGUGAAAUCCCCGAGCUUAACUUGGGAAUUGCAUUCGAUACUGGUUAGCUAGAGUAUGGGAGAGGAUGGUAGAAUUCCAGG